AACGAACGCUGGCGGCAUGCCUAACACAUGCAAGUCGAACGAGAUCUUCGGGUCUAGUGGCGCACGGGUGCGUAACGCGUGGGAAUCUGCCCUUUGGUUCGGAAUAACAGUUGGAAACGACUGCUAAUACCGGAUGAUGACGAAAGUCCAAAGAUUUAUCGCCAGAGGAGGAGCCCGCGUAGGAUUAGCUAGUUGGUGUGGUAAAGGCGCACCAAGGCGACGAUCCUUAGCUGGUCUGAGAGGAUGAUCAGCCACACGGGGACUGAGACACGGCCCAGACUCCUACGGGAGGCAGCAGUGGGGAAUAUUGGACAAUGGGCGAAAGCCUGAUCCAGCAAUGCCGCGUGGGUGAUGAAGGCCUUAGGGUUGUAAAGCUCUUUUACCCGGGAUGAUAAUGACAGUACCGGGAGAAUAAGCUCCGGCUAACUCCGUGCCAGCAGCCGCCGUAA
rnacentral:rRNA from 1 species